GACGUAGGGGGCGAGCGUUGUCCGGAUUCAUUGGGCGUAAAGCGCGCGCAGGCGGCCCGGUAAGUCGGAUGUGAAAUCCCACGGCUCAACCGUGGAACUGCAUUCGAUACUGUCGGGCUAGAGGCAGGUAGGGGAGAUCGGAAUUCCUGGUGUAGCGGUGAAAUGCGCAGAUAUCAGGAGGAACACCGAUUGCGAAGGCAGCUCGCUGGGACGUUACUGACGCUGAGACGCGAAAGCGUGGGGAGCAAACAGG
rnacentral:rRNA from 1 species